ensembl:misc_RNA Metazoa_SRP Metazoan signal recognition particle RNA
GCCGGGCGUGGUGGCGCUUGCCUGUAAUCCCAGCUACUCGGGAGGCUGAGGCGGGAGAAUCGCUUGAACCCGGGAGGCAGAGCUUGCAGUGAGCCGAGAUCGUGCCACUGCACUCCAGCCUGGGCAACAGAGCGAGACCCCGUCUCAA